rnacentral:lncRNA from 1 species
UAUAUAUUGUUACUUAAUUGUAUUGCGAUGCAGUUCAUCAUCUGUUACUCUUUGCCUAUAUACAAAUGCUAUAUAUAUUGUUACUUAGUUGUAUAACCUCACUGUAAAUUUCCAAAUGAAUCAACUGGAAAAGUGGUCACCACCAAAAACGGUGACGGAAUAACUUUUUUGGAGUUGAUUCAAUUCUUUGAAAUUUCCAGUGUAAACGUGUACGUGCUUUGGUCGCUAAGGUUAGUUUCGGGCUUCCAAGUAAUAGCAUCAAGUUCUUUAUUUUGAUCAGAUCUCGUACGAGUCCUGCUUUCUGUUGAAUAAGGGACUAGUUCAGAUUAGAGUAGGCUUAUCGAGUUCAUGGUUAGCUUAUUGAACAGUAUGUUUUCCUUUCUUUGAGCAUGUUCCUGUCAAUGAUGCUUCAUCGGUUCUUAACCAAGAUUCAUGUCCCUCACGCUUAGCCAUAUCAAUGGCGGAAAUCCCAGACGAAUCUUUUAGAUAAAUAUCUACGUUGUGCUGAAUAAGGAUUUGAACAACACGUUGUUUUCGAGCAAGCCUUGCUUCAGU